AUACGGAGGAUGCGAGCGUUAUCCGGAUUUAUUGGGUUUAAAGGGAGCGUAGGUGGGAUAUUAAGUCAGCUGUGAAAGUUUGGGGCUCAACCUUAAAAUUGCAGUUGAUACUGGUUUCCUUGAGUACGGUACAGGUGGGCGGAAUUCGUGGUGUAGCGGUGAAAUGCUUAGAUAUCACGAAGAACUCCGAUUGCGAAGGCAGCUUGCUGGACUGUAACUGACGCUGAUGCUCGAAAGUGUGGGUAUCAAACAGGAUUAGAUACCCUGGUAGUCCACACAGUAAACGAUGAAUACUCGCUGUUUGCGAUAUACAGUAAGCGGCCAAGCGAAAGCGUUAAGUAUUCCACCUGGGGAGUACGCCGGCAACGGUGAAACUCAAAUGAAUUGACGGGG
rnacentral:rRNA from 1 species